AAUAUAGCUCAGCCUGGUAGAGCGCUUGCUUCGGGAGCAAGAGGUCGUGAGUUCGAAUCUCGCUAUU
rnacentral:tRNA from 2 species